UAGUUUUGACUGUUUAGCAUAAUUCAUUACACUCCUGAUGGCAGCAUAGAGGCCAGAUGUCUCUCAUGAUGUGAAAUAACCACCAAAGACCAGAGGGGGAUGUGAUGGGCUCCACAGCAAUUUUACUGUGACGCGACAGGAAGAAAAUAAAUCAGCAACGUGUUUAAAAGUAAUGGAAACGAAAGCAGCAGUCUGACUUUUCACAUGAGGCUGAACAAUAAGCUGCCUGGAUGUGAGAUUUUACAGCAGGAAACGUUUUCAAUAAAAGAUUCAAAUGAAUUCUCAGUCUUUCUAAAGAGACUCUGAAGAGAAGUCCAAACGUCUCUCGCCCUGGUAAAAAGCUCAGAUCCUCCUGAGGGAUCCUAGGGUGCUCCCAUGUCAGCGAGGAAGUAUCAUCCCUACAGCGAGGGGGGCGGGGCUUGUGUUAUACUCUUCUUUCACUUGUUUUUCUGUUAAAUCUGCUGCGGUCCCUCGUAUAUAUAUCUCCUCUUUCAGGGGAUAGCAGUUUGUUCGUGUGUGUGUGUGUGUGUGUCAUUCAUAUUCAUGACAAACAUCUUGCCACUGAUUGGCUAACAGCAUUGCAACUCUUCCACUGCUUCUGUUCAUUCUUUCUUGGGUAACAAAUGCGACGCUGAUGUGUUUUCUGCACAAAUGACGAAGCCUGAACGAGUUCCACCAUCAUGGAGUUGCUAUUAGCCGAGAUGCACGCUGCUCUCACCCUGCAGCAACUCAACAGCUUCCCGCGGUCACAAACCAUGGUGAUGAGGGUUGAAGUCUUUUCCACAGGUUGCAGGUUUGAUGCUGGCUCCAGACAGAGAAUUCUGCUGUUGUGUCCUUGGGCAAGACACUUACCCCACCUUGCCUGCUGCUGGUGGUCGGAUGGACCGGUGGCACCUGCUGGCAGCCCCAGGGCAGCUGUGACUGUAGCUCAUCAUCCUCAGUGUGCGAAUGUGUGUGUGAAUGGAUGAAUGACACACUAGUGUAAAGCGCUUUGGAGUCGUCUGGCUCUGAAAGGCGCUACACAAGUGCGGGUCAUUUAUCAUUCAUUCAUCAUGUGUUUGAUGUUUGAAGAAAUUGUCCAAAAAAAUGACAAAACUCAUUUUUGAUGUGGAAGAUUUGAACAAAAAAGAAAUAAACUUGCAGGAUUAACACUGUAA